GAAGAGAAAAUGGGAGAGGGAGAGAAAACAUACAAUUAUGUAUGUCUGGAGCACACCAUAUUAAAGGAGGGAGUGGCAGAAAACGUGAGGUGGGAAUCAAAUCAUGCUGGGCUUUUUGGCCAGAUCUUUAAUAAAUGAAAUAAAUGUGACUGUAUGUCCUACAUCCCAUUCCUGUUGUCUUCCAUGUCUCCUCAGAGAUUGUGCCUGCAGCCUGGCCUGUUGCCCACAGCGGUCUACCUGCCACACUGGGAAAGAUCGAGCAGAGACAGAGAAGAAAAGGAGGCUCCAUUUUUCAGGCUGCUCUCCCGCAGGCUCAUGUUUUGUGUUCAUGCCAGGCAGAGAACACAAAAUGUUCCAAUAAAUAAGUAUCAAAGAUGUACCCAUAGGGUCAAGCUCCAGCACAGAGACCCAUCCUGGGAUGCAGGACUUGGUGCCAGGGAAGUCCCAGCAUCUACUUGUUUCCAAAGUUAUUUGGGUCAGCAUUUUCCUCCACCCACCACUUAAAACUGAUUUGUUUCAUACAUUUGAAAUGUAUGAAAAGCCAGAAAUCCAGGACCCACCCUGGCCUGCUCCCUUUUUCUCACCUACUGUGUUAAGGAUAAGUCAAUUGAGCUUCACUUCUCUAAUUGAAAUCACCGUGCUGAUGGAGUCUGUCUGUGGAAAUGAAAGGUGGCUACCAUAAUCUGUUGGGAGUUGAAUUAAUCCUCUGGGAGUGAGGCUGACCUAAUUACUCAGAAAUACUGGGCUUGCUUUCAUUCUGUGGAAUACAGCCAUGAGAAAGAGGCCAGCAUGCCAUUUCCUAAUCUUUUCUUGAAUUGCCUGAAACUCACCUAACAUGAAACUGAGAAGCCUUUUCAUUUGAAAGUGGUAUUUCUUAUGUUUUUUAUCUUUUUGCUUGAAAGUAUUCUUAAACUAAAGAAAGGAGAAACAGAAAAGGUGAAGAAGCCAAGAGGCUGGAGUUUCCUUUUGAAUGGAUAUUCAUCCAUGAAGCUGUUGAUUCUGUUUUUCUGUUCCUCCAGAUGUCUACACUUUUACCUCUGCUUGCCUGAUACAACCACCACCAGUCACCUCACAGAAUAACUCACUCCUUAAGAAUCUGAUCAGGAAUCAGCCUUCCCUGAUCACAAACACUGAGUUUAGAAGUCCCUCCACAGUGUCCCCCGUAACCCUGUGCUACCUCACUGCCUCAUAGUUUAGUGCCGUUUGUGUACAUGCCUAUCUUCGUCCAUGGAUCCAGAACAACUUGUAAAAAUGACUGUACUUAUCACCUUCAGUAUUCAAUGACUAAACUAUAAUUUUAACAUAUCUGGCAGAAUGAAUCACUUGGGGAUUUCUGCCAACACUACCAAUAUAUUACUCCUAAUUUGUAAUUAUUACUUAGCAUGGAUUAUAGUACCGGCUGUUGGAGAGCCAAUGUGGCAGACCCUAAGUGGAAUAAAAUGUCAGUAGCAGUCUAGGAGCAUAUAUUUAUUGGAAUAGAUCAUUCAUUCAUUUGUUCAUUAACUAAUUUGUUCAUUAAAUAAACAUUUAUUAAGCACUCAU
rnacentral:lncRNA from 1 species